rnacentral:rRNA from 1 species
UGUGGGUGUGAUUGGACAACAGUAGGAAUAAGGUAGUAUUAUACGUAAUUGAAACACCUUUUUGAGUCUAUCACAUUGCUGAGGACAAUAGGGUCUUCCAUUUUACUUUGAAUAAAAGAAAAUGACUUAAUUUAAUUUAUUAAACCCAAUUGUUAAUUAUUCUCAAUAAUGGUAUAAAAUGUGUAUAUGACUAUUGUUGCCUGAGAAUUGUGUUAAGUGAAUUUCAUUUAACAAAUAAAAAUCGUGACACGGCCGUGUACGAGACACGAAUGAUUUUACCGUUUUUGGCAAUUCUAAGAAACUACAGGGUAGUGUGAUUUUUUCACAAGUACAUAAAAGUUAAUUUUUCACAAGUAAGUUGUAUAAGUAAGGAGAACAACGGCUAGGUGGCAGUUUAUGCGGGGCACAGAUCCCAUAAAGAGUAGCUGGGUAUAUCCUAAAAUUUAGAAAAAUUUGAGGAAAAAGAUAUAUUUUUUCUUUUGAGUUUUUAUUUAAUAUAUAAAUUUUAUAUAAAUUUAAGAUUUCUUAAGACGAAUUUGUAUAUAAGCGGAUAAGAUAUUUUACUUAUUCCCAUAUGUAUUUAAUCAUUAUCUUUUUAUGUAAAGUAUAAUUUAAAUUUUUAAAGCAAGUAAGAUUUUAACUAUAUCGGUAAUAGGUGUAAUAAAGAAAAUUAACAUUUUUUAGUCGAAAAAUUUAAAU